GCCGGUGUAGCUCAGCCAGGCAGAGCGGCGCCCUUGUAAGGCGAAGGCCGCCGGUUCGAUUCCGGCCACCGGCUCCA
rnacentral:tRNA from 1 species